GAAGCCGCCUGACAGGUGAGACACCAUGCUCACAAAGGUGUUUUUCCCAGGAAAAUGCCUGUCCCUUACACAUGGGGUGUGCUGACACCUGCAAUUUCCCCAAAUGCCAGGAGCUUGACUUCAUCUUCUGUGAUAAUGGCAAGCUCUGCCAA
ensembl:snRNA U1 U1 spliceosomal RNA